rnacentral:rRNA from 1 species
AUUGAACGCUGGCGGGCAGGCCUAACACAUGCAAGUCGAACGGUAACAGGAAGCAGCUUGCUGCUUCGCUGACGAGUGGCGGACGGGUGAGUAAAUGUCUGGGAACUGCCUGAUGGAGGGGGAUAACUACUGGAAACGGUAGCUAAUACCGCAUAAUGUCGCAAGACCAAAGAGGGGGACCUUCGGCCUCUUGCCAUCGGAUGUGCCCACGAUGGGAUUAGCUUGUUGGUGGGGUAACGGCUCACCAAGGCGACGAUCCCUAGCUGGUCUGAGAGGAUGACCAGCCACACUGGAACUGAGACACGGUCCAGACUCCUACGGGAGGCAGCAGUGGGGAAUAUUGCACAAUGGGCGCAAGCCUGAUGCAGCCAAUGCCGCGUGUAUGAAGAAGGCCUCGGUUGGU